rnacentral:rRNA from 1 species
GUGGGGAAUAUUGGACAAUGGGCGAAAGCCUGAUCCAGUCAUGCCGCGUGUGUGAAGAAGGUCUUCGGAUUGUAAAGCACUUUAAGUUGGGAGGAAGGGCAGUAAGUUAAUACCUUGCUGUUUUGACGUUACCGACAGAAUAAGCACCGGCUAACUUCGUGCCAGCAGCCGCGGUAAUACGAAGGGUGCAAGCGUUAAUCGGAAUUACUGGGCGUAAAGCGCGCGUAGGUGGUUUUGUAAGUUGGAGGUGAAAUCCCCGGGCUCAACCUGGGAACUGCCUCCAAAACUGCAUGACUAGAGUACGGUAGAGGGUAGUGGAAUUUCCUGUGUAGCGGUGAAAUGCGUAGAUAUAGGAAGGAACACCAGUGGCGAAGGCGACUACCUGGACUGAUACUGACACUGAGGUGCGAAAGCGUGGGGAGCAAACAGGAUUAGAUACCCGUGUAGUCC